rnacentral:lncRNA from 1 species
UAACACAGUCACAUAAAAUCCAGAUUAGCAAAGGAAUUACGCAGUUGCUAGCAUAAAAGACAUUCACACUUUAAGCAAAAUUCUAGUGUACUUCCUGUUGUUCAGUUGGAAGAGAAUUCAGGAGGUUUUUAUCAGGUAGACAGCUCUUGCUUUCCCAGGUUACAUUCUGUUAUAGCAGACUCCAUGGGGCAUCCACAUUGAGGACAGUUUUUAGUUAACUACAUUGUUAAAGUUACAGCCCCAGGCUAUAGAAAUUACAGAAGUUGGAAUCAGAAUAGAUCCAAUUCCCUGUCUUUUUUACCACUGAAUUACUAGGCGAGGUGUUCUCAACAUAAGAGAGAAGGCAGGGUCUUAAAAGCCUCCUUGUUCCCAAACCUCUGUCCUCACAGUCUCUUCUGCACUUACUAUAAUUUGCAUUGCUUGCAUGCUUGCCAAAUAAUAGAAUUUGUUUGCUUAUAGUAGAGAGAUAGUGAAUAUAAAACUAUCUGUAGAGUUACAAAAAGCUUAGUAUUGUUUCCCACAAGGGGAAUUUAUUAAGAGCUUAAAAAAAACAAACCUCAUAUGCUGCUGUUGCUCCUUACCUUAUAU